rnacentral:rRNA from 1 species
UUAGAGUUUGAUCCUGGCUCAGGAUGAACGCUAGCGGCAGGCUUAACACAUGCAAGUCGAGGGGCAGCGGGAGAUGUGCUUGCACAUUUUGCCGGCGACCGGCGCACGGGUGCGUAACGCGUAUGCAACCUACCCAUAACAGGGGGAUAACACUGAGAAAUUGGUACUAAUACCCCGUAAUAUUAUGAAAGGCAUCUUUUAUAGUUGAAAGUUCCGGCGGUUGUGGAUGGGCAUGCGUUGUAUUAGCUAGUUGGUGGGGUAACGGCUCACCAAGGCGACGAUACAUAGGGGGACUGAGAGGUUAACCCCCCACAUUGGUACUGAGACACGGACCAAACUCCUACGGGAGGCAGCAGUGAGGAAUAUUGGUCAAUGGACGCAAGUCUGAACCAGCCAUGCCGCGUGCAGGAUGACGGCUCUAUGAGUUGUAAACUGCUUUUGUAUGAGGGUAAAAUUAGGUACGUGUACCUAACUGCAAGUAUCAUACGAAUAAGGAUCGGCUAACUCCGUGCCAGCAGCCGCGGUAAUACGGAGGAUCCAAGCGUUAUCCGGAUUUAUUGGGUUUAAAGGGCGUGUAGGCGGAGGUGCAAGUUGGGAGUGAGAUCCCGGGGCUCAACCCCGGAACUGCUUUCAAAACUGUACCCCUUGAGUGUCGGAGAGGCAAGCGGAAUUCCUAGUGUAGCGGUGAAAUGCGUAGAUAUUAGGAGGAACACCAGUGGCGAAGGCGGCUUGCUGGACGAUAACUGACGCUGAGGCGCGAAAGCGUGGGGAGCAAACAGGAUUAGAUACCCUGGUAGUCCACGCUGUAAACGAUGAAUACUAGGUGUGGGAGGACUGACCCCUUCCGUGCCGCAGUUAACACAAUAAGUAUUCCACCUGGGGAGUACGACCGCAAGGUUGAAACUCAAAGGAAUUGACGGGGGCCCGCACAAGCAGUGGAUUAUGUGGUUUAAUUCGAUGAUACGCGAGGAACCUUACCCGGGCUUGAAAGUUAGUGACGGACUUGGAAACAGGUCUUUCCUUCGGGACACGAAACUAGGUGCUGCAUGGUUGUCGUCAGCUCGUGCCGUGAGGUGUCGGCUUAAGUGCCUUAACGAGCGCAACCCUUGCUGUUAGUUGCCAUCAGGUAAUGCUGGGAACUCUAACAGGACUGCUACUGUAAGGUAGAGGAAGGUGGGGAUGACGUCAAAUCAGCACGGCCCUUACGUCCGGGGCGACACACGUGUUACAAUGGUCGGUACAGAGGGUUGCUACCUGGCGACAGGAUGCUAAUCUCAUAAAACCGAUCUCAGUUCGGAUCGGAGUCUGCAACUCGACUCCGUGAAGCUGGAUUCGCUAGUAAUCGCGCAUCAGCCAUGGCGCGGUGAAUACGUUCCCGGGCCUUGCACACACCGCCCGUCAAG